AUUUUAAUAGCUUAAAUUUAGAGCAUAAUAUUGAAGAUAUUAAGGUGAAUUUAUUUUCUUAAGAUA
rnacentral:tRNA from 1 species